UAGGGAAUCUUCGGCAAUGGACGGAAGUCUGACCGAGCAACGCCGCGUGAGUGAAGAAGGUUUUCGGAUCGUAAAGCUCUGUUGUAAGAGAAGAACGAGUGUGAGAGUGGAAAGUUCACACUGUGACGGUAUCUUACCAGAAAGGGACGGCUAACUACGUGCCAGCAGCCGCGGUAAUACGUAGGUCCCGAGCGUUGUCCGGAUUUAUUGGGCGUAAAGCGAGCGCAGGCGGUUAGAUAAGUCUGAAGUUAAAGGCUGUGGCUUAACCAUAGAAGGCUUUGGAAACUGUUUAACUUGAGUGCAAGAGGGGAGAGUGGAAUUCCAUGUGUAGCGGUGAAAUGCGUAGAUAUAUGGAGGAACACCGGUGGCGAAAGCGGCUCUCUGGCUUGUAACUGACGCUGAGGCUCGAAAGCGUGGGGAGCAAACAGGAUUAGAUACCCUGGUAGUCCACGCUGUAAACGAUGAGUGCUAGGUGUUAGACCCUUUCCGGGGUUUAGUGCCGUAGCUAACGCAUUAAGCACUCCGCCUGGGGGAGUACGACCGCAAGGUUG
rnacentral:rRNA from 1 species